CGCUCACAGCAGAGCUUUUGCAUCUGGCCCACAGAAAGACGUCUCUUGCCGUUCCAAAUCGGUGUCUAGCAGGCAGCGGUGGGCAUCGCGAGGCCUCGGAGACUCGUGCGAUGCCGACUCUUCGGGCACCGAGAGCAGCGAGUGUGCCAGUGAAGGUGAGGUGGAUGGCAGGGUCACUAGGCUUCAGGGAGGAUCAGGCGUCGG
rnacentral:lncRNA from 1 species